rnacentral:tRNA from 1 species
UAGGGUGUAGUUCAAUUGGUGGAACACUGGUCUCCAAAACCAGCAGUUGUGGGUUCAAAUCCUGCCACCUUAG